rnacentral:rRNA from 1 species
UGUUGCCAGCGGGUCAUGCCGGGGACUCGAUGGGAGAACUGCCGGGGUCAACUCGGAGGAAGUGGGGAUGACGUCAAAUCAUCAUGCCCCUUAUGUCUUGGGCGUUCACGCAUGCUACAAUGGCCGGUACAAAGGGCUGCGAUACCGCGAGGUGGAGCGAAUCCCAGAAAGCCGGUCUCAGUUCGGAUUGGGGUCUGCAACUCGACCCCAUGAAGUCGGAGUCGCUAGUAAUCGCAGAUCAGCAACGCUCGCGGUCGAAUACGUUCCCGGGCCUU